AUGAUCUGCGAAAUGCGUAGGUUUGAUACUUGGAUGGCUUUCUGUAUCUUAUUUCACUCGAUUUUGCUUGUUUCUUGUACUAAAUGAAAUUGAUACAGCAACUGAAACCAUGCAGCUUGUGAUUACAGAGUUUACAGUAUCCCUUGGUUUGGAGCCAAUAUAUGAAUUUCAUUCUCCUGGUAAGUCAUUGUAACACAUGGAGGCGCAGCAUCCUUUGGAGGCACCAGUAUUGCAACAUGCCAUUUUGGCAUAGAUGUUCAUACUUAACAAAUUACACCAUACACUUUCCUAUCUAUAUGAAAGCAUUUGCUGACCUGCAGUUACAUGGUCUGCGGAGUGCAUGGGUUGAUGAUGGGUUUCUGUAUCUAACUUUACUUGAUUUUGCUUGUUUCUUGUACUGAAUCAAAUGAUACAACCUGUGAAACCUGCUGGUGUACUAUCUUUUAGUGUAAAACCUUCUUUUCUUUUGCUAAUCCUGUUCGCAUUCUUUGCAGUCAGGGAGCGCUUUGCCUGCGAGGAAAUUCUGGACAAGCACAAGCGCUCGCCGCGGCUGGUAGCUGGGGACCUCAUGGCCUGCUCCUCUAACAGUUACCAAGCUGAGGUCGCCCUUGUACUGCACAAUGUAUCCACCCACCUCUCCGGC
rnacentral:lncRNA from 1 species